rnacentral:lncRNA from 1 species
UGCACCAUUAACAUAAAUCCUUGAAUGAUUUUACUUUAAAGGAGUUUAAAGGUGCCCAGAUGUGUCCUUGACCAUUUAGUGUUCUCGAAGGUCACCAUACUGGGGUCCCUGUUUUGGAGCCUUGGGAAUGAGAGAUUUGCCAUCUCUGGAGAAAUUUUUCAGCAGGAAAAGAUUAUUCUACUUUCCCCCCUUUGUUCUCCUUC